UAGGGAAGUCUUCCACAAUGGACGAAAGUCUGAUGGAGCAACGCCGCGUGAGUGAAGAAGGGUUUCGGCUCGUAAACUCUGUUGUUAAAGAAGAACAUAUCUGAGAGUAACUGUUCAGGUAUUGACGGUAUUUAACCAGAAAGCCACGGCUAACUACGUGCCAG
rnacentral:rRNA from 1 species